rnacentral:rRNA from 1 species
AAUCAACGCUGGCGGCGUGCCUAACACAUGCAAGUCGAACGCGAAAGGGCAACCCUGAGUAGAGUGGCGUCCGGUGAGUAACACGUGGAUAAUCUGGCCUGCGGGCGGGGAAUAAACUUUCCGGAAAGGGAGCUAAUACCGACAUAACACCGUAAUAGGGCAUCCUGAUACGGUCAAAGAGGGGAUCGCAAGACCUCUCG